UACACCCCAUCACACCGUCACACCGCGGUACUCUAUGGGCGGCCGAUUCGCGAACGUGCGUGUGUAUUGGACCGGAUACGGGCGCGAGAAAGGUCCAUGACGGUUUUUGACGUGCGGCGAAGAUUUGUGGACCGACCGACCUUUUGUGUGUCCCUGUAUAUGUAUAUAUAUAUAGUGUAUGUGUGUGUGUGUGCUCUCGUACAGAAGCGCCGUGCAGUGUGCGAAGCUAUUUUAUGUAUUAUACACACACAUACACACAUGCGCGGCGGCGGUAUAGGAAAUGCUGCAGCUCUCUUUCUCCGCGGGAGGGCGGCCGGAGCGCAAGA